rnacentral:rRNA from 1 species
UGGGAAAUAUUGCACAAUGGGGGAAACCCUGAUGCAGCGACGCCGCGUGAACGAAGAAGGUAUUCGUAUCGUAAAGUUCUGUCCUAUGGGAAGAUAAUGACAGUACCAUAGAAGAAAGCUCCGGCUAAAUACGUGCCAGCAGCCGCGGUAAUACGUAUGGAGCGAGCGUUGUCCGGAAUGAUUGGGCGUAAAGGGUACGCAGGCGGUUUAAUAAGUCGAAUGUUAAAGAUCGGGGCUCAACCCCGCAAAGCAUUGGAAACUGAUAAACUUGAGUAGUGGAGAGGAAAGUGGAAUUCCUAGUGUAGUGGUGAAAUACGUAGAUAUUAGGAGGUAUACCAGUAGCGAAGGCGACUUUCUGGACACAAACUGACGCUGAGGUACGAAAGCGUGGGGAGCAAACAGG